rnacentral:rRNA from 1 species
GAGUGAACGCUGGCGGUAGGCCUAACACAUGCAAGUCGAACGGCAGCACAGUAAGAGCUUGCUCUUAUGGGUGGCGAGUGGCGGACGGGUGAGGAAUACAUCGGAAUCUACCUUUUCGUGGGGGAUAACGUAGGGAAACUUACGCUAAUACCGCAUACGACCUUCGGGUGAAAGCAGGGGACCUUCGGGCCUUGCGCGGAUAGAUGAGCCGAUGUCGGAUUAGCUAGUUGGCGGGGUAAAGGCCCACCAAGGCGACGAUCCGUAGCUGGUCUGAGAGGAUGAUCAGCCACACUGGAACUGAGACACGGUCCAGACUCCUACGGGAGGCAGCAGUGGGGAAUAUUGGACAAUGGGCGCAAGCCUGAUCCAGCCAUACCGCGUGGGUGAAGAAGGCCUUCGGGUUGUAAAGCCCUUUUGUUGGGAAAGAAAAGCAGUCGAUUAAUACUCGGUUGUUCUGACGGUACCCAAAGAAUAAGCACCGGCUAACUUCGUGCCUGCAGCCGCGGUAAUACGAAGGGUGCAAGCGUUACUCGGAAUUACUGGGCCGUAAGCGUGCGUAGUGGUUGUUUAAGUCUGUUGUGAAAGCCUGGGCU